GCGGGGGUGGACGGCCGGGCGCCGCGGGCCGCCGUGGACGGUCCGGCUCCGCGGGCGGUGACCGUGUCCCGGCCCUCGCCC
rnacentral:tRNA from 1 species